rnacentral:lncRNA from 1 species
ACCUGACGUCAGUCAGUCUACUCUCUCAGUCUUUCUCAGUCACUGCAGGGUGCUGCUGUGUGCAGUUAGAAGGACCAUGGAUUUUCUGAUACUGCUAUCCUUGUGCCUAGUCAGCUGGAGAGGUAAAUGGAGAUCUAUUCUGUUAGAGGAGGGAUGGACAGAACCAUCAACACACUGUCUAUCUGUGCUCAGAUUAAUGAUUAUCAUAUAGUUAACCCUUAACUGUGAGGGACAUGCAACAUACAGCUUUGGGUGCCCACCACACUUUUACUAAAAAGGUGAAUUCUGAGUGGAGAUUUCAUUUACAGUAAGAAAAAAACCCCCACUGUGGUUUAAAUAGAAUGUAUUGAUUAUUUAAGCAUUAAGCUCUGUGUGAUGGGGGUUAUGUUCCCCCCAUAAAUCAGAUUUACAGGAGUUGUUUUAUUCAGCUACAUAAGGUAACUUUUGUAUUUGAAAGGAUUUAAGGGUCAUGGUAGACUUUUGCUGAGCUCAUGAAAUGUAAGAAGUUGUUUUCAGUGCUAAGCAUGGCAAUAUGUAGGUUCUUACAUCACAUAUCGGCAGUAGGAGGUGCGGUUAGAUGUAUAAAUGGACCAGAAGUGAUACAGGCAUCAGAUCAGGUUUAAGAUUUUGGCUACCAUUCGUUGUGUACCUUUGUGCGUGUUUUACGGGCAAUCAUUGAUAGGUUAGGCAUUAUGGUGAAUGCUGGUGCAGCGUUUCUAAACAUUUAAUUGGUUUCCAUGGUGACUGUUCCAACUAGGCUCCAGAAUUGUUCUUUUAAGUAAACACUACAUAGUGAUGUGUUUGACUGGGACUGUAUUUAUUACUGUAUAUGUGUUAGUACCCUUCUCUCUUAUGUAGCUAUCUAUGCACAAGUAUUUUCACUGUGUAUGUGAAUGUUUUUCAUAUUCACAAAUAUAAAUCUGAUUUGUAUGUCUAAUGAUCAUUUACAUCUACAAUUUCUAUGUUUCUAUGUACUACUUUUUUUAAGUCGUGCAAGCUUUGUCUGUAGUCUCAAUUUUUGCUAUUCUAGCGAGACAAAGGUUACCUGGAUUUACCUGUAAUUUUUUUUAAAUAAAGAUAAAACAUUUAUGAAUUAAAAUAUAUAAAAAAAACUUUUGAAAAAAUCACAUUCACUUAACUUUAGAAAGUUCUCAUGAAAUCAAGCAACUCCAGUGUACACCUGUCCUCUUAUGUUUAAGUAAUUGUUUGGGUGGUAUGGGGGGUUGAUUGUUGUCAUAUUUGCUCUUCUCUGUGUUUUUAUAAAGUUAUAUUUUAAACUAUGAUUUUGUGUUACCUGGGUAUAAAUAUAUGCUUUUCUCUCUUUGGCAGCCUGCAUGGUUCUUUAUGUUAUCACUCUGGGCUUUGCUGUUAGACAGUGUGUGAUUAUGAUCCUUCAUUGCUUUGUAAGUGAAUGUUAGCAAGUGGAAUGUUGUGACUGAUGCUGUGUAUGAUACAUGCACUGUGAAUGUGUGACAUCUUGGUUCAGUAAACUUUUUGGUUAUUCAUUUUGAUGGGUGUACCCCCCUGCUUCACCCCACCCUCUGUUACUUCUCCUUGUCCUUUCUUCUUCUGACACACUAGCCAAAUUGUCUAUCUUUUGACUUAUACUGAUGCAUAUUUAGAAAUUCCAAAAGGAUCUCCUUUUUCAUAAACUGGAUGCAACUGACCUCAUGUCGUUAUUCUCGACACGCCAUCAUUAUAAUAGGGAUUUAGUGACGCCAGCAUUCCCAACCCAAAUUCUCAUUUCAGUGUCCUCUUAUCGUAGAAUAGAUUCAAGGAGCACCCUUCCUUCCUCGUAUUACAGUCCUCAUUAUUCUGGUGUUAAAUGACGCUAUCUGCCCCCGCUGCCUGUGACCCCAGUAUAAUUAUAUAGGGGAUUCCAAUGUCCUCAUAAUACAAACAGCUCCAAUGUUCUCUAAAAUUAUGCAAACUCUUUCAGAGAUGCUAUUAUGAAAAGAAGUUCCCAUGUCCCCACUUUGUAAUGAGAGAUCCACCACUUUUUCUUAAAAGAAAGUAUUAUUAUUUCACUCUCAUUUAAGCACAGAAUUACAAGGUUCUCUAUGAAUUCUAUUCAAUAAACAGUUAUACGUUCCAACAGAUGUAGAGUCAUAAUGAGGGCACUUUUAAAAUGUUAUCACGCAGAAUACUCACAUCUAUAACCGUCUAUUCAUUUUGUUGAACUUGUAGACUCUUCUUCAGUUGUGCGGAUAAAACUCAAUUUAUUAACGUUGAGAUUAUUUGAAAAUUACUGUAAUAAUCACUUAAUAUGACCUUCAUAGAACAAAUUACAGUGCUAGUCUCUGUUGUCUUUCUCAGACAUAUACAUGCCCCACACCUGUUGAGAUAUCAUUCAUGUGCACGUAUAUUUAAAGUGACACUGCACACAAACUAGUGAACUCGCUCUCUUAGUAUAUUCCUUUAACUUCAAUAAUUAUGUAAUGUGCAUAAAAUAGUUGUAGAUCGCUGAUCCAGGAUUAAAAAAAUAUUAUUCAGAAAUGAUUCCUUUUUAUAAUGGGUUUUGGACAGUUAAAAUGGAAGCAGGUGGGCAACACAAUUUUCUUUUGAAAUGCCAAAUUGGCAUGAGAAAAAUGCCAUAAUAUAUUCAAAUUGAAACAAAAAGAGAAUCCCCACUUUUUGAAAAAAAAAAAAGAAUCCAUGUCAGAAUCUCAUCUAAAAUUGACUGAGCUCAAUUAAAUGAAAAUUUUGGAAGAAAUCUGCUCCCAGCUUAAUCAUGGAAGGUUUCCUCCAGAUUUUGCGCAAAAUCAUUUUUGAAAGCAGUAGGGUUCCAUGACAAUAGAAACCCCAGAGAUGCUCACAGAAUAUUUCAACAUGUGUAUAUAUAUAUAUGGAGUUUCCAUAUAAGGAAUAUCAACUUUAUAAUAUUUAUACAACCAAACUCGUCUACCGGAGAAUAAACUCCAGUGUUUUCUAUAAAGUCCCCAAGACAGGUGAAAAAACACAUUUCAGAUUGUAAUAAUGCCUAAUUGCUAGCUCGAAAUUUUAUAGCACAACCCCACAUCCCAAUUGAAAUCUUCUCCCCCUGUUUUUUUUUUUUUUUGUACAUUACUCUGUAGAACCCCAGUUUGUUGUUUAAAUAGACAACGUUAAAAGUGCUUUUUCACAAACAUGGUUCUGUUAGUCCUCUUCCGUCCAAGUGAUCCUCAUGCUGGUUAAACUAAUCUCUUCUAAGAACAUGUACACAUGGGUAAAAUGCCUCUACUGUAAUAUCCUCACGCAUGUUGCAUUUUACACAAGAGGUCCUUCUAUAAAUUGCGUAAUUCCACAAUAUAAUGCUGCAUUGUUAGUAAAAUCUAGACUUGAGAGUGGUGCAACAGUGCUUUAUGUUUUUUAUUUAAUGUUUUCUCUCUUAUUAUAUAGACCAGUGUUUAUUAGAUAUUAACAUUGGCUUGUUGACCCACUCUAAAAAAUGCAAAUUUAUCCAUUGCAGUGAGGCUAACAGUACUGCUGCAGUAAAUGUUUUAUUGUAUGGGGUUGCCCAGUACCCGAUAAAGAUUAUGUGGUUGUUGCAACCAGUGUUAACCUAUUGAAAAUAGAAUGUGGAUCCACUUUGGAUUCCGACCAAGGGAUACCACUGGUAUAGAAAGGAAUACUUAAUGUAUCCAUUUGUGGUGAUGCAGUUUUUUUAGCAAACUAAUCAGGGCUACUUUCUUCUACCAAUCAAAGCAGGCAGUUAUCAAAUGAUUAACUCUUAUCAAAGAGCACCAGAUUAAACUUUUUUUUUUCUGAGAUAUUAUCAAGGAAAAGAGCAAAUAGGAUACAGCACCUUAGUUAUUGUUAUCUCUGAUGUAAAUGGUGUUCUUUUAAGUUAAAGUUCAACUUUCAAUGAUAAUCCACAAUAUCUAAAAUGAUACACGUUCGUUGUUCCCAGAGAUGUUACUGGUUGGUGCAAACUUUGAACAUGCCUGAGUCCCGGAGGUUCUUGGCCAUUGGUCCCAUGUUUUCCUUAUGAUUUAGCGUUGUGGAGCAGGAGAAUGGAGAGAGGUUCCUUCCUCUCUGGCAUUCACUAGUCCAGACAGAAGAUGCUCUGCUAUGACAUAAUCCCCUCCGCCUUAGUCUCUACCAGCUAAUAGCUGUUAAAGAAUGCAGAUACUGAUCUCUACCACAUGGAGCACAGACCGUGUAGAUUCCAAAAGUUAUGUACAGUAAGUAGGAUUGGGGUAUUUCUAGUCAAACUGCAGUGAGGUUCUCAAAAUAUGUUUGCUCUGCUACCUUUUAAUCUCAUAAUAUCACUGUGUACUUAUGUCGCAGAAAGACAAAAAAUAGAGGUUCUGCGCAUCAAGUAGGUAGUGCACACCCAGGUGCUACUGCAGUUUAUUAGGGGACACAAUAUAAACAAACGUUUCGGGUAACAAGCCCUUCCUGGGGACAUUAGCACUGAGGAAGGACUUGUUGCCCGAAACGUUUGUUUAUAUUGUGUCAUCUAAUAAACUGCAGUAGCACCAGGGUGUGCACUACCUACUUGAUGCGCAGAACUCCAUUUUUGUCUAUCUGCUUGUUACACUGUUGGAACUACAGUAAGGAGACCCUGCAGCUCGGAUUUAACUGUUCAUUUCUGUGUUCUUUAUCUUUGAUAAUCGGUGGGCAUCAUUGAUGCCUCUGUCUCAUCCUAUGCAUAGUGUACUUAUGGCGCAUUUGAAUUAGAACAUACAAAAUGUAUAUUCAGCUAUGCAGACCAUAGAAUAAUCUUUGUUUUCCCAAUGUCUUCAAUAACGAUGUAAGUAAUUAUAAAAAUAUGUAUUGUAAGUGGAAAUACACAAAUAAAAAACAGAAAAAAACUUAAACGGACUGUCUAAGCAUCAAAACCACAUCACCCUAAUGCAGUGAUUUUGGGGCAUAGAUGCUGCCUCUGCAGCAUUGCAAAUGAAAACACUGUUAAAGGGAAUCUAUAUAUCUAUAUUGUUAGCGUUACACAAAUCUUUACUCCCCACUCCCCCUCCGGAGCUAAAAUGAUAAAAAAAAUCCUUUUGUUACUUACUUGAUUUUAGCGAUGUUGUUUGUGGUGCUAGGUCAGCGCUCCGUUUCCUCCAAGUGCCACGAGGACAUUAGACCCUCCCCAUGGGGAUUUUACUAAUGCUGGACGUCCAACAUCAGUUAGGUGACCGAGAGUCAAUUAGCAACCUGGAAGCACCUCUAGUGCUUGUUUUUAGUAUGGCUUUUACUGUAGGAAAGCAUUGAAUCAAUUCUGUCCUUUGGUGAUUUUCAAGAUGCUGGAUGUCCUCAUUUAAAGCGUGAGGACAGCCAGUGUCAUUUUUUUGAGUUCAAUUCCAUGUGAAUCAAGUAAGCGCCUCUAAUGGCUGUCUGGUAGACAGCUACUAGAGACAGUCUUGAAACUGCAGUGUUAACAUUGCAGUUUCUCAAAAAUUGCAAUGAUUUACAUUGCAGGACUAAGUGGGACUGGGACACUGAACACCCAGACCACUUCAAUGAGCUAAAGUGGUCUGGGUGACUAUCGUGUCCCUUUAAAAUGUAGACAGCCACUGGGGGUGGGUUCCAGACUUAACUAGGUGAUUUGUUUUAUUUUAUAUGAUGUCUGGAAGUGUGCCUUUAAAAGUGGAAGUUUUUAUUUUCUACAAUUCUUUUUUUUUAUAUAUUAGUAGAAAUAGUUAAAUGUAUCACUGUCUUUUGUUUGCAAUUUGAGAUUUAUUGGAUUUCAUUCACAAUUUCUUACUGCAAGGCCAUAAAUUAUACAAGUUAUACUUGCUCCAACAAGUGAAAUGUUUUGCUAAUUGUUAAAAAUGUACAAAUUAUGAUAUCAUUUUGAUUGAAUUUUGCAUUUACUAUUUCAAUAUGCAGUUAGCAGUCCAUUUAUUAAUAUAAUAUUUGGUUUUAAAGUAGUAAAGCAGUUGUUUUUUUUGUAGGAAACAUGAUCAUUUUUUUUAAAAUAAAGGGGGACAUUCACUGGUGAAACGCAAGUGGUGCAGUGGAUAACAAUGGGUCUUUCAAUGUCAGUUCCUUACUUAUAGAGCCCUGCAUUCUCUGGUUUCAGAGGCUGCUGCAGGGACUCUGCAACUUGAAGUUUGGCACAGUAUAUAUUUACAGCGCUUUGAAAGUUUUGGUAUCUGAAAGACACGAGGGCUGCUUUUAGCAACAGUUAACACAUACAUCCAGAAAAACAGCUGCAGCAUUGCUUGAAACAUUGGUUUUGUCUUCUCUGGAAUCAUGUUAAGGUCAACAUUGCUUGAUAGAAAACAACCCUUUCAAAACAAAUAUUUAAAAUAAGUAAGGUCAAAUAAUUUUUUAAUCAUGGUAGCGCUCCCUGUUUGCCAUUUUGUGUGUUUAUUACAUUAUUUGGGAACUUCAAAAGAUGUGUGACAAAGAGUCCCUAGGACUUUUGUGACCUCUUCGAAUUUUGGAUUGUGUCCAGAUUCCCAAGCUUACUUAGUCCACAUGGAUGUGUCUCCAAUUUGCCUAGGAGACUAUGUACUAGAACUUUUUAGGUUCAAGGUGCCCUUAAUAUAUCAAUAUUUUUCCAAGGCACCCCAAGUCAAAAAAUGUUCUAGGUUGUAUAUAUGUACAGCGCUGCGGCAUAUACUGGGCCCCUAAUCUUGGGAGUGGCACUGCUGUAUUAUUUAAAGAAACAAACCAGGCACAAUAAACACUACAUUAUGUUGUAGUGGUUAUGGUGCCAGUAGUGCCCUCCCAGGGUAAGUAGUCAAACUGUUUAAGAACCGUUUGACAACUUACCUGGGGUCUGCCGGGAUAGGGGCUGUAGUGUGUGUGUGGCGGGGGGGGGUGCAAUAUGUGUGUGUGAGGGGUGAAAUAUUGGUGCGUGAGUGGUGGAGUAUGUGUGAGGGUUGCAGUGUGCAUGUGUGUGAGGGGUGCGUGUGCGUGCACAGGGGUGCAGUGUGCCUGUGUGUGUAAGGGACGCAGUGUGUGUACAGGGGUGCAUUGUGUUUGUGAAGGAUGUAGUUUGUGUGUGUAUGUGGGGCAGUUUGUGCAAGAGGGGUACAGUGUGUGUGUGAGGGGUACAGUGUGUGGGGGGCAGGUUGUGUGAGGGGUACGGUGUGUGUGUACAGGUGGGGCAGUGUGUGUGUAUGGGGGUAAUUGUGUAUUUGGGGGGUAAUUGUGUGCAUGGGGGGUUAAUUGUGUGCAUUGGGGGUUAAUUGUGUGUAUGGGGGGUUAGUGUAGGUGUAUGGGGGGCAGUGUGUGUGUAUGAGGGGGUAAUUGUGUGUAUGCGGGGUAGUGUGUGUGUAUGGGGAAGCUAUUGUGGGGUCUGUGGGGGUAGGACGUCAAAUUAAUAAAGUUAUACUUUCACUUUUUUUUUUAAAUAAAAAUGAUAUCCCCCCCCCCUCCCUGCUUACCUUUGCCUGGGAUGGGGGACAUUUCCUGUAAUCCGUGGUGGUCCUGGUGGUGACAGUGAACUCUAGAAGCCUCAGGAGCUGCUAGAGUUAAAACUUGCGAGAUUGUAACUGUGGUAACCGCUGCAACGCUCUGAGCUCGCGAGAGGAGAACCUGGCGGAGCUGCAAGUUAGAGCUCCCCCGGGUCCUCUCUCCCUCCCCUGCUGGCUGUCAGCAAAGUGCUAGCGGGCCGGUGAGGGAGAUCUCUGAUAAUAGCACCGAGAAAAUAUCUUUCGGCUAGGGCGCAACGGCACACAGUUUGGGAACUGCUCUAAUAGAAGUUUAUUAUUUUUAUAGAGUGGUGUUUCCCAACCACAUCCUCAAGGAUUUCAAACAGUUGGGGAUUUCGGGAUUUCCCUGUUCUGUUCCAGAUCUGAUACAGAUCUGUUUUUAUAUGUCAGUUAUAUACUGAUAUUUGAGAAUUCCGUACAUAUAUGUAUAUGUGUACAUACCUGCUUGUAACAUGCCUCCCAACAUCAGCACACUGUAAAUCAGGACAAUGGUGGACACUGGCGGGAGAGGAAAAGGGGAGGCAGAUCAGUGAUGUGGUUGCAUGACUAGCGCUACACACUUUUAGGGACAUCUGGGAUCAAAGUUGGGACAGGACCUAAAAAUCGUGAUUGUCCUGCUGAAAGUUGGAUAAUUUGAGGCCUGUUGCAAUGUGUUUAAAUCUUUGGCAACAGUGAGUGUAUGCAGAUGUGUACAAGCAUGCAGGGCUAAAGGAUCACUAUAGGCACCCAGACCAUUUUAUCUUGAUGACGUGGUCAGGAGGCAUUGGCCCUUUAGUUUCAAUCCUGCAAUCUAAAACAUUGACAGUGUUUUUAAAUACACCUUUAGUGACCGUGGUGCUAACUGUUAGGAGAGGGUACUUCCGUGGCAAUGACCCAGUUUGAUUCAGAUAUCUGACGUUCGACGUUGAACGUCAUCAAAUGCUGAUCAUAAUGAUAUAUUGGAUACACUGCUUCCCUAUGAGAAGCAUUGAUUGGGCCAUGUGCUUCUCGUCCCCAAAACUUCUGCUAGUGCUGCCAAGGACAAAUAGUCAGAAAAGCAUUUAUCAAUAGGUGUUAGCUAUCAAAUGUAAUAAGUAAAUUUAAUGAUUGCUAUGGGCCCGCUAAAUCGGAUUGAGUUGCUAAAACCUAUAUAUAUCUAAUGUAAUUGGAUUUGUAAUUUUAACAGGAAUAACAUUGGUCCUGACUGUGAAGUUCCAGUAGCCAAUAAACUCCUGAUAAAACAUACCUGCUGGAAUGUAAUCAAGGCCAUUGUUAUAUAUAAACAGAGAAACUUUGGGGAAAAGUUCUAAAAGUGAAGCAAAUAGAAUGGACAUUCCAUAACAUUCAUUGUUAAUUGCUCCACUUACGGUGCUUUGACCCUGAAUCAUUCUUUAUGCACAGCUUGCCAUGUUUUAUUGACUAUUUAAUGUUGGUUUCAAGGCUUAUGGUUUCAUGGACUCAUGAAGUUCAUUUACAAAAUUCUUAGGUAAUUAUGUACUGCUAAACAAUGGAAAAACACAUAGUGCUGGCAUUAAGGAUGUCAAGUUAGCUUCAUUUUCUUUGAUUAAUUACUUUUUCGGUAUGGUUUUUUUUAUUUAACACAGGUUUUAGGUGUAUAGUUAUGCUUUUCAUGAAACCAUCUGUUUUUUUAAUUACUGUUUAAAGGAACACUCUGGCUUAAAUAAAUACAUGUAUUUACAGUCAGGUACAUAAAUAUUGGGACAAUAGUAAUCUUUUUGGCUCCAUACACCACCACAAUGGAUUUGAAAUGAAAUGAACAAGAUGUGCUUUAACUGCAGACUUUCAGCUUUAAUUUGAGGGUAUUUACAUCCAAAUCAGGUGAACGGUGUAGGAAUUACAACAGUUUAAAGGCUCAUUAAAGGCUCUGUAAGGGACAUUAAAAGGCUCUGUCAGGGGCAUUGAAAGACUCUGUAAGGGGAAUUUAAAUUCUCUGUUAGGGACAUUAAAAGGCUCCCUAAGGGACAUUAAAUGGCUCUAUAGGCACCCAGACCACUUCAGCUUAAUAGAGAAACUGCUAUGUUUAUAAUAGGGUUAAUCCAGCCUCUAGUGGCUGUCUCAUUGACAGCCGCUAGAGGGCUUCCGUGCUUCUCACUGUGAUUUUCACAGUGAGAAGAUGCCAGCGUCCAUAGGAAAGCAUUGUGAAUGCUUUCUUAUGGACUGGCUGAAUGCUCUUGCGCAUUCAGCCGGUGAUGGAAAAAGAGGGAGGAGAGGAGGAGAGCUCCCUGCCCAGCGCUGGUUUAACCCCUUCCUCCCCCCCCCCCCCAGAGCCCGGCGGGAGGGGGUCCCUGAGGGUGGGACCGCAAGUGCCAGAAAUGAAGAUUGUCCUGAAGCACAAUGCAUACUUUGCAAUAAAAUAUUGCCAAACAGUUCAUUACCACCUGCUAAAUGAUGUCGCCAUUUUGAGCAAAACCAUGCAGAGUACAAAAAUAAAGACAUUGACUUCUUUAAGCGAAAGCUAAAGGAGUAUCGUAAGAGUAAACAAUAUAUGAGCAAAAAAAUGUAAAAUGCCAAUGAAAAAGCCAUAGAGGCUUCUUACAGAGUGAGUUGCACUUGCAGGAGAAGCACACACAAUUGGGGAAUCACUAAUUAAACCAUGUGCAAAAGAAAUCGUAUAUAUUUUAAGUGAGAAGUUGAGUAAAAAAAUUCAAGCUGUACCCCUUCCUAACAACACAGUUUUGCACCGUAUGCAUGAUCUUGCUGAUGACAUCCAUACUGAACUAAUUUCUCGACUGCAUCAAUGUGAUGGGUACUCACUUCAAUUAGACAAGUCCACAGAUAUUGCAGGACUUUUAGUUUUGUUAGUUUUUGUUAGAUAUAAUUUUGACAAACAGAUUGAAGACGACUUGCUUUUGUGUGAAAGUUUGAAAACUCAUACCACUGGUGAAAACAUCUUUUUUUUUUUUUUUUAUAGUUCUUUAUUUUUGUGCAAUUAUUGACAAAGCAGCGUGCAGAGGUAUAGUAAAAAAUAUGUUGUGCUUUCGUCAGGCUAAGGGAGCGUUUGCAUGCUGUGCGAGGUCUGAGCCCAUGGGCCCGAGAUGUGGGUUGUGCGGUCGCUAGUGUAUGCAAGCAGGUUUAAAGCCCCUGACCAAGGGGAUUGCGGGGGGGGAGGAGUAUUAUCCGCUACUUAAUGUGGACUCAAUAUCCGCCGUCUCACCAACGUGUUCGUGUAUUAGGCCUGUACCUUACUGAGCCUAGGUAGGUAAACAUUUGGUAAACGUGUAACGAAACAAUCAAGGAAACUUUUAGUAGUGUGUGGACAAAAGUCUAGUCUGGUCUAGCUUGUCAUUUGGGGUUGUCUGUCUCCUGACGGUUCGCUACUCUGGGGACGAUUGGUGUUAUGGAGGCCGGGUCCCAUGUUGCCGCCAGUGUUCCAGAGGUGGCGGGUGUGUCCGGGGGUGAGAGUCCCAGGGUCUCCAGGAAGGUUGAUGCUUCUUUCAUGGAAGGCAAAGUGUGCACUGUCCCGCCUUGGGUCACUGCUAGAGAGCCGUUCCACCCCCAUCGAUAGGUCAGUCCUGCAGCUCGCAGCAUUGUCGUGACCGGGCUAAACGAUUUGCAGAGUAGGUGCGUGGACCGUGUCAGAUUUUGGAAGAAGGCAAGGUUCGAGUUUUCAAAGGUGAGUGGCGUUUUGCCCUUUAGCGCUGACAUUAUUUGGAAUUUGUCAGGUGGACUGGAGGUGAGAGGGGUGUGGAAGACGGUAGACACUGUCAAUUGCCACCUUCUUGGCCACUGCAUGUGGCAGGAUUGUGUCCAGCAUUCUCCUGAUGUAAUGAGGCAGUUCCUCCGUGUAAUCGUUGCGGGGAUGCCCCUAAUCUUGAUGUGGGUGCUUCUUUGGCGGUCUUCCAGUGUGGUAAGCUUAAGUGACAUAGAUUGUUGUUGUGUUUGCAGUGUUUUUAUAGUGUCCGCCAUAGUGGAGAGAUGGGAUUGUACCUUUGUUAAGGUAUUUUCGUUGGUUCUGAUUCUCUCCGAUACUGCCCGUACUUCCGUUUUGAGGAUGGCCAAGUCGGCCGCCAGCAUCUUGUGAAUUUCGGCUAGCAAGAGUUUUAGGUCCUUUUUGGUGGUUGGUGCUGAGUCAUCGGAUGGUUCUUGUGACCCAGCGGAGGAUGUUGGUGAGUGUCGCGGGCCUUCAGGUCCGUGUUGUCAUGGUGCCGCAUCCUGAUCCUUGUUGGGAAUGUCGCUUGUGGUAGAGGGCUUAGUUUGUGCCGGCCGUUGGAACAUAGCUCCUAUGUCUCUGCCUUCUGCUGGGGUGUGCGACUCUUGGGAGCGCCUGCCCAUGCCCGGCAUAAUUGUCGGCGAAGUAGACGGUGUUAGGGUAUAAGGCGUCUCAGCACUGUUUGUUGCGGUGCCUUCCAGGAGACUCUCCAGGCCUUGCAGCAUGCGUUAGGCCCCGGUUUUGUGUUUCUGUCUUGCUGAGUUUGGUGGUUGAAAGAAAGGCAUCGAUCGAUGCUACUUGCCCUUCUGGUCCUGGUCGUGCUUGUGUGGUGGCUGGAUUGGGCUCAGUUCUGCUGAUAUCUGCAGGAUUAUGUAUUUAUUUUAGUGAGCUUUGAGAAAUGGCGUCUGGUCAGGAUGCUUGGUAAGCUCCGCCCCCUGGCGGUGAGAACAUCUUUAACUGUAUCCAGAAGUUCAUGAACACACAGUAUAAAUUGGGACAAAUGUGUAGAUGUGUGCAGUGAUGGUGCCAAAACAAUGGUUGAGAAAGUGGCAGGUGCUGUGACACGAAUAAGAAAUGUAGCAAAAAAACACCAUCAGUUCUGAAUGUGUUCUUCACAGACAUGCAAAGGUAGCUAAAAAUAUUUCAAUCUCAUUUAAAAUUGUACUAGGUGAAUUUGUCCAGAUUAUUAAUUUUAUAAAAAGCCGACCAUUACAGUCACGACUAUUUAAAAUUAUAUGUGAAGAUAUGGGUAGUCACCACUCUGCUCUGCUUUUGCAUUCAGAAGUCCGUUGGCUAUCACGAGGUAAAGUCUUUGUUAGAAUGUUUGAAUUGAGUCAAGAGUUGUCUGCAUAUUUCCAGGAUUGUAAAUUUGGAUUAUCUGAUCGAUUAACAAACAUUCUGUGGUUAUCCAAAGUAGCAUAUCUUGCAGACAUAUUCACAAAAUUAAAUGACGUAUGUUUAUCACUCCAAGGAAAAAACACUAAUAUUUUUAAUGCAUGAGAUGAAAUAUUUUCACUGUCUCGUAAGUUUUGGACCUCAUCCGUUGAGCAAAAUAAUUUGAACCCUUUGCCAACUUCGCCAGGGCUACAUUUUCUCCACAUCCAAGAUGGCUGCCGCUACCUGCUCUUCCCGUAAGGUCAGAAACAGAAGAGAUCACGGGAGCGCGAUCUUAAGCCCAUCCUGCGAUCAGCCCUGCCACUCGCCCUGCCAUCAGCCAGCCACUUAGACUUAGUUCGUCCAUGAGAGAGCCUGCCCAGCUGCCAGCCAGCCCACCCAGCCCACCCAGCCGUCAGCAAGCCCGCCCAGCAGUCAGCCGUCAGCCAUUUGCUAUCUCUCGUGGUAGAGGAGUGAUAGAGAGUGGAACUGAUAGUUCAAGCUCUGUUAUUGUCAUAAAUAGAAAGCUCUGUUAGGUAGGGACAUAGAAAUCUCUGUUAGGUAGAGACAUAGAAAGCUCUGUUAGGUAGGGACAUUGAAAGACUCUGUUAGGGACAUUGAAAGACUCUGUCGGGGCAUUGCAAUUCUCUGCUAGGGACAUUAAAAGGCUCUGUAAGGGACAUUAAAAGGCUCUGUCAGGGGCAUUGAAAGACUCCGUCAGGGGCAUUGAAAUUCUCUGCUAGGGACAUUAAAAGGCUCUGUCAGGUGCAUUCAAAGACUCUGUCAGGGGCAUUGAAAUUCUCUGCUAGGGACAUUAAAAGGCUCUGUAAGGGACAUUAAAAGGCUCUGUCAGUAGCAUUGCAAUUCUCUGUUAGGGACAUUAAAAGGCUCUGUAAGGGACAUUAAAAGGCUUUCUCUGGGGCAUUGAAAGACUGUCAGGGGCAUUGAAAUUCUCUGCUAGGGAUAUUAAGAGGCUCUGUAAAGGACAUUAAAAGGCUCUGUCAAGGGCAUUGAAAGACUCUGUCAGGGGCAUUGAAAUUCUCUGCUUGGGCCAUUAAAAGGCUCUGUAAGGGACAUUAAAAGGCUCUGUCAGGGGCAUUGAAAUUCUCUGCUAGGGACAUUUAAAGGCUCUGUAAGGGACAUUAAAAGGCUCUGUCAGGGGCAUUGAAAGACUCUGUAAGGGGAAUUGAAAUUCUCUGUUAGGGACAUUAAAAGGCUCCGUAAGGGACAUUAAAAGGUUCUAUAGGCACCCAGACCACUUCAGCUUAAUGAAGUGGUCUGGGUGCCAGGUCCAGCUAGGUUUAACCCUUUUUUUAUAAACAUUGCAGUUUCAGAUAAACUGCUAUGUUUAUAAUAGGGUUAAUCCAGCCUCUAGUGGCUGUCUCAUUGACAGUCGCUAGAGGGCUUCCGUGCUUCUCACUGUGAUUUUCACAGUGAGAAGAUGCCAGCGUCCAUAGAUAAGCAUUGUGAAUACUUUCCUAUGUACUGGCUGAAUGCACGCGCGCAUUCAGCCGGUGACGGAAGGAGAGGGAGGACAGGAGGAGGAGAGCUCCCUGCCUGGCGCUGGAGAAAGAGGUAAGUUUAACCCCUUCCUCCCCCCCAGAGCCCGGCGGGAGGGGGUCCCUGAGGGUGGGACCACAAGUGCCAGAAAUGAAGAUUGUCCUGAAGCACAAUGCGUACUUUGCAAUAAAAUAUUGCCAAACAGUUCAUUACCACCUGCUAAAUGAUGUCGCCAUUUUGAGCAAAACCACACAGAGUACAAAAAUAAAGACAUUGACUUCUUUAAGCGAAAGGUAAAGGAGUAUCGUAAGAGUAAACAAUAUAUGAGCAAAAAAAUGUAAAAUGCCAAUGAAAAAGCCAUAGAGGCUUCUUACAGAGUGAGUUGCCGCAUAGCACUUGCAGGAGAAGCACAAACAAUUGGGGAAUCACUAAUGAAACCAUGUGCAAAAGAAAUCGUAUAUAUUUUAAGUGAGAAGUUGAGUAAAAAAAAUUCAAGCUGUGCCCCUUCCUAACAACACAGUUUUGCACCGUAUGCAUGAUCUUGCUGAUGACAUCCAUACUGAACUAAUUUCUCGACUGCAUCAAUGUGAUGGGUACUCACUUCAAUUAGACAAGUCCACAGAUAUUGCAGGACUUUUAGUUUUGUUAGUUUUUGUUAGAUAUAAUUUUGACAAACAGAUUGAAGACGACUUGCUUUUGUGUGAAAGUUUGAAAACUCAUACCACUGGUGAAAACAUCUUUUUUUUUUUUUUUUAUAGUUCUUUAUUUUUGUGCAAUUAUUGACAAAGCAGCGUGCAGAGGUAUAGUAAAAAAUAUGUUGUGCUUUCGUCAGGCUAAGGGAGCGUUUGCAUGCUGUGCGAGGUCUGAGCCCAUGGGCCCGAGAUGUGGGUUGUGCGGUCGCUAGUGUAUGCAAGCAGGUUUAAAGCCCCUGACCAAGGGGAUUGCGGGGGGGGAGGAGUAUUAUCCGCUACUUAAUGUGGACUCAAUAUCCGCCGUCUCACCAACGUGUUCGUGUAUUAGGCCUGUACCUUACUGAGCCUAGGUAGGUAAACAUUUGGUAAACGUGUAACGAAACAAUCAAGGAAACUUUUAGUAGUGUGUGGACAAAAGUCUAGUCUGGUCUAGCUUGUCAUUUGGGGUUGUCUGUCUCCUGACGGUUCGCUACUCUGGGGACGAUUGGUGUUAUGGAGGCCGGGUCCCAUGUUGCCGCCAGUGUUCCAGAGGUGGCGGGUGUGUCCGGGGGUGAGAGUCCCAGGGUCUCCAGGAAGGUUGAUGCUUCUUUCAUGGAAGGCAAAGUGUGCACUGUCCCGCCUUGGGUCACUGCUAGAGAGCCGUUCCACCCCCAUCGAUAGGUCAGUCCUGCAGCUCGCAGCAUUGUCGUGACCGGGCUAAACGAUUUGCAGAGUAGGUGCGUGGACCGUGUCAGAUUUUGGAAGAAGGCAAGGUUCGAGUUUUCAAAGGUGAGUGGCGUUUUGCCCUUUAGCGCUGACAUUAUUUGGAAUUUGUCAGGUGGACUGGAGGUGAGAGGGGUGUGGAAGACGGUAGACACUGUCAAUUGCCACCUUCUUGGCCACUGCAUGUGGCAGGAUUGUGUCCAGCAUUCUCCUGAUGUAAUGAGGCAGUUCCUCCGUGUAAUCGUUGCGGGGAUGCCCCUAAUCUUGAUGUGGGUGCUUCUUUGGCGGUCUUCCAGUGUGGUAAGCUUAAGUGACAUAGAUUGUUGUUGUGUUUGCAGUGUUUUUAUAGUGUCCGCCAUAGUGGAGAGAUGGGAUUGUACCUUUGUUAAGGUAUUUUCGUUGGUUCUGAUUCUCUCCGAUACUGCCCGUACUUCCGUUUUGAGGAUGGCCAAGUCGGCCGCCAGCAUCUUGUGAAUUUCGGCUAGCAAGAGUUUUAGGUCCUUUUUGGUGGUUGGUGCUGAGUCAUCGGAUGGUUCUUGUGACCCAGCGGAGGAUGUUGGUGAGUGUCGCGGGCCUUCAGGUCCGUGUUGUCAUGGUGCCGCAUCCUGAUCCUUGUUGGGAAUGUCGCUUGUGGUAGAGGGCUUAGUUUGUGCCGGCCGUUGGAACAUAGCUCCUAUGUCUCUGCCUUCUGCUGGGGUGUGCGACUCUUGGGAGCGCCUGCCCAUGCCCGGCAUAAUUGUCGGCGAAGUAGACGGUGUUAGGGUAUAAGGCGUCUCAGCACUGUUUGUUGCGGUGCCUUCCAGGAGACUCUCCAGGCCUUGCAGCAUGCGUUAGGCCCCGGUUUUGUGUUUCUGUCUUGCUGAGUUUGGUGGUUGAAAGAAAGGCAUCGAUCGAUGCUACUUGCCCUUCUGGUCCUGGUCGUGCUUGUGUGGUGGCUGGAUUGGGCUCAGUUCUGCUGAUAUCUGCAGGAUUAUGUAUUUAUUUUAGUGAGCUUUGAGAAAUGGCGUCUGGUCAGGAUGCUUGGUAAGCUCCGCCCCCUGGCGGUGAGAACAUCUUUAACUGUAUCCAGAAGUUCAUGAACACACAGUAUAAAUUGGGACAAAUGUGUAGAUGUGUGCAGUGAUGGUGCCAAAACAAUGGUUGAGAAAGUGGCAGGUGCUGUGACACGAAUAAGAAAUGUAGCAAAAAAACACCAUCAGUUCUGAAUGUGUUCUUCACAGACAUGCAAAGGUAGCUAAAAAUAUUUCAAUCUCAUUUAAAAUUGUACUAGGUGAAUUUGUCCAGAUUAUUAAUUUUAUAAAAAGCCGACCAUUACAGUCACGACUAUUUAAAAUUAUAUGUGAAGAUAUGGGUAGUCACCACUCUGCUCUGCUUUUGCAUUCAGAAGUCCGUUGGCUAUCACGAGGUAAAGUCUUUGUUAGAAUGUUUGAAUUGAGUCAAGAGUUGUCUGCAUAUUUCCAGGAUUGUAAAUUUGGAUUAUCUGAUCGAUUAACAAACAUUCUGUGGUUAUCCAAAGUAGCAUAUCUUGCAGACAUAUUCACAAAAUUAAAUGACGUAUGUUUAUCACUCCAAGGAAAAAACACUAAUAUUUUUAAUGCAUGAGAUGAAAUAUUUUCACUGUCUCGUAAGUUUUGGACCUCAUCCGUUGAGCAAAAUAAUUUGAACCCUUUGCCAACUUCGCCAGGGCUACAUUUUCUCCACAUCCAAGAUGGCUGCCGCUACCUGCUCUUCCCGUAAGGUCAGAAACAGAAGAGAUCACGGGAGCGCGAUCUUAAGCCCAUCCUGCGAUCAGCCCUGCCACUCGCCCUGCCAUCAGCCAGCCACUUAGACUUAGUUCGUCCAUGAGAGAGCCUGCCCAGCUGCCAGCCAGCCCACCCAGCCCACCCAGCCGUCAGCAAGCCCGCCCAGCAGUCAGCCGUCAGCCAUUUGCUAUCUCUCGUGGUAGAGGAGUGAUAGAGAGUGGAACUGAUAGUUCAAGCUCUGUUAUUGUCAUAAAUAGAAAGCUCUGUUAGGUAGGGACAUAGAAAUCUCUGUUAGGUAGAGACAUAGAAAGCUCUGUUAGGUAGGGACAUUGAAAGACUCUGUUAGGGACAUUGAAAGACUCUGUCGGGGCAUUGCAAUUCUCUGCUAGGGACAUUAAAAGGCUCUGUAAGGGACAUUAAAAGGCUCUGUCAGGGGCAUUGAAAGACUCCGUCAGGGGCAUUGAAAUUCUCUGCUAGGGACAUUAAAAGGCUCUGUCAGGUGCAUUCAAAGACUCUGUCAGGGGCAUUGAAAUUCUCUGCUAGGGACAUUAAAAGGCUCUGUAAGGGACAUUAAAAGGCUCUGUCAGUAGCAUUGCAAUUCUCUGUUAGGGACAUUAAAAGGCUCUGUAAGGGACAUUAAAAGGCUUUCUCUGGGGCAUUGAAAGACUGUCAGGGGCAUUGAAAUUCUCUGCUAGGGAUAUUAAGAGGCUCUGUAAAGGACAUUAAAAGGCUCUGUAAAGGGCAUUGAAAGACUCUGUCAGGGGCAUUGAAAUUCUCUGCUUGGGCCAUUAAAAGGCUCUGUAAGGGACAUUAAAAGGCUCUGUCAGGGGCAUUGAAAUUCUCUGCUAGGGACAUUUAAAGGCUCUGUAAGGGACAUUAAAAGGCUCUGUCAGGGGCAUUGAAAGACUCUGUAAGGGGAAUUGAAAUUCUCUGUUAGGGACAUUAAAAGGCUCCGUAAGGGACAUUAAAAGGUUCUAUAGGCACCCAGACCACUUCAGCUUAAUGAAGUGGUCUGGGUGCCAGGUCCAGCUAGGUUUAACCCUUUUUUUAUAAACAUUGCAGUUUCAGAUAAACUGCUAUGUUUAUAAUAGGGUUAAUCCAGCCUCUAGUGGCUGUCUCAUUGACAGUCGCUAGAGGGCUUCCGUGCUUCUCACUGUGAUUUUCACAGUGAGAAGAUGCCAGCGUCCAUAGAUAAGCAUUGUGAAUGCUUUCCUAUGUACUGGCUGAAUGCACGCGCGCAUUCAGCCGGUGACGGAAGGAGAGGGAGGACAGGAGGAGGAGAGCUCCCUGCCUGGCGCUGGAGAAAGAGGUAAGUUUAACCCCUUCCUCCCCCCCAGAGCCCGGCGGGAGGGGGUCCCUGAGGGUGGGACCACAAGUGCCAGAAAUGAAGAUUGUCCUGAAGCACAAUGCGUACUUUGCAAUAAAAUAUUGCCAAACAGUUCAUUACCACCUGCUAAAUGAUGUCGCCAUUUUGAGCAAAACCACACAGAGUACAAAAAUAAAGACAUUGACUUCUUUAAGCGAAAGGUAAAGGAGUAUCGUAAGAGUAAACAAUAUAUGAGCAAAAAAAUGUAAAAUGCCAAUGAAAAAGCCAUAGAGGCUUCUUACAGAGUGAGUUGCCGCAUAGCACUUGCAGGAGAAGCACAAACAAUUGGGGAAUCACUAAUGAAACCAUGUGCAAAAGAAAUCGUAUAUAUUUUAAGUGAGAAGUUGAGUAAAAAAAAUUCAAGCUGUGCCCCUUCCUAACAACACAGUUUUGCACCGUAUGCAUGAUCUUGCUGAUGACAUCCAUACUGAACUAAUUUCUCGACUGCAUCAAUGUGAUGGGUACUCACUGCAAUUAAACAAGUCCACAGAUAUUGCAGGACUUUUAGUUUUGAUGGUUUUUGUUAGAUAUAAAGACAAAGUAUCGAAAUCGACUUGACUCAACUGCAGACAUGCAAAUACAAUUGUCAACAAUUAAGCCAGAUAUAAAAUGAAUUUGCCAGAAAAGAGAACAUUACACUCAUUGAAAGGUUUACGCUGCAUAUUCUACGGCACACAUUUUUUUGUUGGGGCUCCAAAGUUUUGCUAAACCAUGUCAAAGGGUUCCACGGGAAAAAUGUAUUGGAAAACCCUGGCCUAGUGGCAAGUGGAAAUGUGGAGCCCUGCUGUGUGUGGCAUUAUAUUUGCAAAUGUAAUUAUAUUUGUAUGUUGGUUUUCCUAUGUGUGCAAUAUUAGUAUGUGUGUAUGUAUGUGUUUCUAUGUGUGAAAUGUAGGAGAAAAAUUAGGGCAUUAGCCACCAUGACUAAAGUAGUAGCAUGCAGUUCUGAAGCGCAAAUCCUAUUAUGUUCAGCCAGUCUCUAGGCCUUCCAAAUGUUUGCAAAUUGCAAUUCACAUGAAGCCCAACAAGACUUACAUGUUGGCUGAGCAUUAAGAUUAUUGCGUAACUUGCAAUGGUGCCAUUGCCGCAGGAUGUCCAGUAGCUAUAGGGUGGAGGGGAAAGUGGGUUAAAUUUACCCAAAUCUGUCCAAUGUGGACACCACCGUUCUAUUCUGCCUGGUUUUCUUCACCUCCUGCCACUAAAGCUGAUUUCAGUGAUGUAUCCUUGCACAUCAUAAGAUAUGACAAAGCUGGACUGCACUUUUAUGUCAAGAGGAGGAAAAAUACUAAGACAAGUAGUUCCUACUUUAUCUUAGUAUAUUUUUUGACUAAAGAUUUUGUCUUUAUGAAAUACUCGUUUUGGAUGGGGGUGUCAGAGCUGCUUUAACAUACCUUAGUCUAUCUCCUCAAUUCUCUCCCAACCCGCCAGCUAUUUCCCCAAAGUCCACCCUGGUCGAUUUAAUAUUGUUCGGUAAUCUUUACAAAUAAUUCAAUAUUUUUGGAUACAUUUUAAAAGCGAUUUAAUAUCAUGAAAAAUAUUAACUUUUUUAUAUAUUGAUCUAUUUUUUUAUAUAUGCUAUGUUUUUUGAUAUUUUAAUAUGUUGGAAAAUAAUUGUAAAAGUAUAUCUACAAAUAUUAAAUUGUGUGUGUGCACAUACGCCCCUCCCAAUAUUACUUGAGGCCUCAGUGGGUGCCUCGGAGGGAUGAUAUGUUAACAUUAUACAAAAACAGAUGUGAGAAAGGCUGAACUUGAUGGAUGCAUGUCUCUUUUCAGCCUAUGUAACUAUGUAAAUUUGGUAAGCUUAACCCACAAUAUUCAAUCAAGACCUUUGUAAACUAAGUGACUGAUAACAUUGUUGUCAAAGGAGACAAUUGGGAUAUGAUAUAGUAAUUUAAAAAAAAAAACACUACCUGAUUUACCAUACUGGACCCAGUUAUGUGGUGUAUUAGGGCGUGAGAUGGAAGGCACAGAGCUGCACAAGGUGCCCAUCACUUAGCUAUGUUACAACAACUCUUCUAGGUAGUCAGAGGAGUGGAGGUGGUCAACCGGCCAGACCUCUGAACUCCACAACUGACCUAUCGCUUACAGUGUAGUGGAACCUCUGAUUAAUGAUAUCAAACGUGAUUGAGCAUUGUAUAAGUACCCACGAAGAAAUAUCUUUAUCAUUCAGAACACAGCCUUUCUUUUUUUUCUCACUAAUUCUUUUUUUUUGUUAGACCAGGCACUAUAGCAGUACCAUAUAGGAGAAGUCUGAAAUACAUUAAUAUUUUGCAUAUAUCUAAUUUUCCUAUACAAGUGAACAGAACAGAACAAUACAGAAAUUAAAGAAAAGAGAGAGGAGAAUAAGUUCUGCUAUGAUAUAUACAAUAAACCUAAAUGUAAAUGACAUUCAAUUAGCUAAAGAUGUAUUUAAGCCAUGGGUUCCUAGUUUAAUAAAAUAUUAGUAUUAGCUUUUGUAUAGCGCCAACAUAUUACACAGUACUUGACCAUUAUAGAAAGGGGAUAUGAAGAAGGUCCAGUUUACAAUAUAAAAUAAAAGGUAGACGAUAUAUAUUGUUAGGUAUUCAUUCAACAAGCAGCAAUUAAAUUUUUUUUAUAAUCCCAUUCUUCCCAGUGUCUCUCUUACAUAUCUAGUUUCUCUCAUUGGUGUAGCCGGAGGUGUGUUUGAGCAUCUUCUCCAAUCACCUCCCUCUUUUUCUUCUCUCUGUUUUUGCUCUCCAUCAUAAUUUAUCUGGCAAUCCAAAAGCAGAGCAUCAAUUUCAGUAUGCAUUCCACCUUAGUAUGUAGUUCUGUUUUUUUCUUGCAUGUCAAGGAUAUUCAUCUGCUCCUUAUUAGGUCUUACAAUUUGGUAGAUCCAACCUCAGAUGGACAGCACGUGACAAACUACACCAUGUUGUGAUUUAUUUAACAAAAAUAAAGCCUUGUGUGAAAAAAUGAAGUACACCUUACGAUUCAAUAGGUUGUAAAACCACCUAUCGCAGUGCUAACUUGAAGUAGAUUAAACUCUGCGCUGCGCCAAUCCACAUCUCCUCAUAUAGAUGCAUUGAAUCAAUGCAUCUCUAUAGGGAACAUUCAGAGCUUCCAUGCAGAGCGUGGAGAUGUGGAAUGUUGGUGCACACUGUGCAGCACUGGACUAGGAAGCACGUCUAGCGGCUGUUUACGUUACUGUCAUUAGAGGUGUUUUUAGGCAGCAAUGUAAACACUGUCUUUUCUCUUAAACACCACUGUGAACGGUGGUACUCUAGUUGCUCAUUACUAGCUUUGUGCAUAUAUGAGGAUAUGUCGUGUUAAAAGACAACUGUCACCAAACUUUCAUUUCUCCUUUUAUUACAUGCAGUUAAAUUAAAUGAUAUUUUUCUUAAAGGGAUACUAUAGUCACCAGAACAACAGCAGCGUAAUGUAGUUGUUCUGGUGAGUAUAGUAUGUCCCUGCAGACAUUUUUAUUUAAACACUGCCUUUUCAGAUAAAAGCUGUGUUUAUAUUGCUGCCAAGGGACACCUCCAGUGGCUGUCAUUCAGAUGGCCAAUAGAAUUGCUUCCUGGGUCAGUGCUGCACAAUGUGCUGCAUUGCCCCAGGUAGCACCUAUGUGGGAAGCACCCAUGGGAAAGCAGUGGAUUGGCUGAGAUUAUCAACUCUUAUGAUCUUGGCCAAGGAGGUGGAUCGGGGGCAGUGUUUUUUUUACCCUAUUUAAGUAAGGCAUGGGGGGGGGGCUGUAACCUAAAUAUUAUUUUUAGCACCAUAGGGUCAGGAAUACACAUUUGUAUUUCUGACUCUAUAGUGUUCCUUUAAAUUAUGUAUUUUGAUAUUUUGGAUAACAUUUUUAUUUGGCUGGGCAGCCAUUUUGGGUCAGACUCUGUUAUCUGACCAACUGUAGUUCAAUCUAAAUGACUGCCACUGUGAUUGCUCUGUGUGAAACUGCUACAACCGGAAAGUUAGGAUGAGCAGCAGGUGGUCAGAUAAUAGUAGAAUCUCACCCAACAUGACUGCUCAGAGAGAUACAUCAUUUAAAAAAUAUAAUAAUUAUUAUAUAUAUAUAUAUGUAUAUAUUAGUAAGUUUCCGUACAUGUAAUAAAGUUUUAAAAAGUGAAAUUUUGAUGACAGUUGUCUGUCCUUUAAUACUAUGUUCCUGUUGUGAACUUCACAAUGUUCUGAAAUGAUCAGUCAGUAUUCUCAUUGGUCAGUAUUAGUCAGUAUUCUCUUACUCCACAUUCAAAUGUGUGUUAUUUAGUCUUGAAUCUCUGUCUUAGCUCCCAAAAAUAGGUUUGCAUUUACUAUUUGCUUUGACAGAGUUCUUUCCUUAGUUGAUGGAAAAUGUAAAUGGUUAAUAAAGCUGAGUGUAGAUUUGCCUUAUAUGUGAACGGUGCUUUGAGUAUGUAACUCAAGCCAAAGGUCUACAUGUGCUUAGCAUGCUCUUCAGGUGAUUGAUUGAUUGAUUGAUAGAUUUAAAAGUCAAAAGGCCAAAUAAUAUAACUUUGCUUCUUCUCAAUAAACUCUGUGUAAGAUGAGCAAGGCAAUAUCAAGUCGGAGUUGAAAGAGACAACUAUACAGUAAUGUACUUUACUUAAAUAUAACUGGAGAGUUAUAACCACUGGUAAUGUCACAUACAGAGGGAGCAUCAAAUGAUUGUUAAUUAGAGAUUAUAAAAGUGUUUGUAUUAAUUCUGAAUUGUUGAGCUGGCUAAUGGCUAAACAAAAAAAAAACAUCACACCUGUAAUAAGACUAUUUGUGUAAUUUUCUGUUGGAAUUAGUUUUGAAAAUGCGAAUUUUUAGCGUCUUUUAUAGUUGAAUAUUUUUUAUAUAUAUCCAUAUCCAUUGGCCUGUAUUUGUGGGAGGGGCUUAAGUUAACUUACUCCCCUAUAUAAACUACACCUCUUACCUGACUCCUUACCGAUCAAGGUCAGCAUCUGAAUGCCCCUCCCACCCACUCCUCAUACUUACACAAUCUAUAUCACAUUUCUUAUUUUAAUUCUUACUCCUUGGUGGGCCCUCUUUAUUUACAGGCCUACCGUAUCGUCGGUAUCGGCACACCACAACCGACUUGCUCUUUUAUAAUAUUCCAGUUCCUACUGGAACCUCACUCCUUAUACUAUUACUUAGCACCUUACACAAAUAUAUAUAUAUAUCCAUAUCCAUUGUAUAUCACAAUGUGAAUCAUAUUUAGGAUACCAUAAAUUGCAACAAAUAAUGUAUUUACAUCCACAUAUUUAUAUAAUGAAUGAGUGUAUGCGUAUACUACAUUAAGUAGUCCUAAUGGCUAGUAAUGGUUACUUGGUAAUAUGUGCAUUUGUUCUGGUUCCCUUUUGAGCUUCCGAGGUCACAUUUUAUAAUGGAGAAAUUCUGGCGGCAGACUUGGUAGGCCAUGAAGUAGCAAAUUGCUUGUUACUAACAUGAAAAAAUGUCGUGCAAAUGUGAAGUGUUGCUGUUGGUGGUCAAAUGUUUCAUUUUUGUCACACUGCUUACCUUUCUUAGGAUGAAAUUUUUUUUAAUUGAAGUUCCUGGUAAUAUUUAGAGGAGUCACAUUAGCAGAUACAAGAAAUAUACAGCUUGUUGUUUCAACAUUUUUACUCCCAAUGCUGCUUGUUUUCUUUCAGUAUUCCACCUCUGUUGACCCACUGUCCAAAGAGCAGAGGACAAGCAAGAAGACAUAUAUGGAAAGAUCUGUGUACUUUGUCAAAGUGGACUGUCUGAAAGAAGAUUUAGGGUUUUGCAGUGUUAGGGGUUUUGUUACCAAGUUCUAGAGGAGACGUUUACUGGAACUGCAACACAGUGCUCUGCAGAUUCUACCAAGCCACUGCACAUGUUUGUGUCUAAAAUGCUUGUGUCUUAUUUUUAUUACGAGGACAUGACUUGCUAAACAAAAUAAUGCCUACAUAUUUUAAAAGGUGCAAAUGUGGAUAAUGUAUCACACAAUAUGAUCAAUAUAUCAGCAUGUUGGGUAUAUCUGCAAAAUAGUCAUUUCGGACUCUCAUGGAAGAAGCUAUUUCUUUGGGGAAGUCACAAAUGGAAUUCUGACCCAUGGAAUUGUCAAAAAACAGUUUUCUUAUUGACACCUGGAAGUGGUAGCAUCAGUCCUGAUGUUGGAUUAAAUAAUUGAUCAUUGUAUGUUGUUGCGUUUACCUGCCUUUAAUCAGUAAAACAGAUGUAAACUAUUUAACAGGAGUCUGCUCUCUCC